GAAGUUUCUCAAACUUGUGUAAAUAUUUAAGUGUGUCAAACACUUAUAUUUCAUCUCUUAAGUUGUUGGCUGAGAUGAAAGUCUUGGGCUUAAUACCUGCCAAGGUAUUGCAUGAUUCAUGCUUUGUUGGACAUGCUGAAGGUGCAAAAGCAAAUUACGAAUACUACAGAGAAGCAUUUACAGACUGUAAUACAGCCCUGUAUUCAUCCAGUUCUGAAGAUCUCUGGGAUAUGAAUGCUGCAGUUUGUUGAGCUCUUCUCCUUUCCAUGUAGCCUAUUUCUGGUUCAAUGGUUUGUGAGACUUUGAUCCUGUCAUUCUCAACAAUCUGAUCCAUCCAUGCUUAGGAAAACGAUGUACUCAUUUGAUCCAUUUUUGAUGGAUUCUGCUUGCAUUUUUUAUUGGAAGUCUAAGAUCCAAACGUGCUUCAAUACGUAAAGUUCUAUGCUUCUGGGUUAUAUGAUUUGUUAUGGCCCUUCAUGAGAAAUGUUUUUGGCACUGGUUGCUUCUAUUCAACAUCAUGCACCGGCAUAUAAGUCAAUGGAUGCUUUUUGCUGACUUGAAACGGCGGAAGUCUUUUACUAAGGAUCGGAAGGCAUUAUUUACUAUCCUCUGCUGCCUUAUCUGGCAAAGACGCAACAAGCUGAUACAUGCAGAAGCUGGCGGGGAUAUGUCUACGGUGUUGGCAGGAGCAAAUGCUAUAAUGGGUUGUUCAGCAUUGACGGCAAAGCGACUCAGUGAAGCCAACACAGGAGGAGCAACAACUGGAGUG